ensembl:snRNA U4 U4 spliceosomal RNA
AGUUUUGCACAGUAACAGUAUCAUAGCCAAUGAGGUUUAUCCAAGGCGCGAUUGUUGCUAAUUAAAAACUUUCUGGGACUUGUGAACCAAAAUGGCAUAGAUGAUAGAGUCUCUGUUCGUCUCUCUGGUGA